GCUUUUCGUCGAGUCUGCCAUGUUAUGUCCUACUUGUCGCGCUUGAUCAACGCGUUCGCGAUUUCUGUUGUAAACUAUUAUUUUACUGAAUGUAUCACGGGCUGUGUAUUGUUUACAAAUAGUGUAGUUAAUGACUUUAUAAUUACGCGAAUGAAACGUGUUAUCAAUCAAUUACUUUUGAUACUUGUGUAUAAUGGAGUAGUUCGCAUUUCAUCAAAAUUUUAAAUUGUUCACAAGCUUGCUAUUGCACUUACGUCGUGAACACGGAUACUGUCACGACUGUAAUGUAAUUAUAUUAUAAAUACUAAAGUGAUAGUAAGUACUUCGAUCCUGUGAUUCAACCCACGUGCACAUAAUUUAACAAGCAUCUCAUGCACAUUUGUUAUUAUUUUGUUCGCGACUCACGAGUUCGAUUCGAGCCUGUUGGGAUCGGAUCGAAGAAGGGAAAUCGUGUUCUCCGUCUUGCUCCCUCCCGUCGCGUUUCGUUCGGUUGCAUCCAUUCAUUUUCAUAAGCCGAAAUAGAUUUUUUGUCAAGUGUAAUUGUUUUGGUGUAUGAGGAUCUAAGGAGCGGAGGAUAGUGUUGGUGGUGUCGGUGCUGCACACGUGACGGGACGUGUGUUUGGUUGUCCCGUGUCAGUCUGGUAGGGUCCGCGGGCGGGCGCACGCUAUACCGCCAUAGUCCGCUGCAGUGCGGGCGGCCGGGUGAAUCACCGCGCGUUGUCGUGUGCCGUGUUGCCGUGUUGAUCGUGCUUGUUUACUCGCGAGUGCAAGUGCGUGGAGCGGAAGUGCAAAGGCAUGUGCGGCGCGGUUUGGCGCCGAUGACACCGCCGUCCUAGGCGACGGCGUUUUAAGCCAGUGUACGUGUGUUAAUUAUGCCUCUUGGGUUAUGAGUGUGUGACAAAGUUGUAGUGUAUUGAGGACACUGGAGCCCCUAGACGGAGUUGGGCCCGCUGGGGCGGCCCUGGUGCUUCUCGGGGCUCCGCACGAAGGCAAAAUGGCAGCUUGGAACCGCCACCAUCAUUUUAACAUGAUCAUGGAUGAGAAUGCCAAAAACAAAUUGGGCGUGGUCGGCGGCGGUAUACCAGAGACCGCUAGCGGCGAGAGGCGGCACGGGCCCUUGUACGGGAGGCUGGUAGCCGAGGAACAGUUGGCCUCCAUGAGCGCGCCCUCGGACAUUCAGGUGAGCGCCCAUGUGCGCAACCCAAGAGCUUUCUGGCGCUACCGUACCCCCGCUCAGGCUAUGCAAGCCCGAAUACCGCAUAACUUUCGAGAUCCUUCGACGGCGCCGUUAAGGAAACUCAGUGUCGACCUUAUUAAAACCUACAAACACAUAAAUGAGGUAUAUUACGCCAAAAAGAAGCGGAGAGCGCAACAGUACUUGGGUGAUGACGGCUCACACAAAAAGGAAAGGAAGCUGUACAACGACGGGUACGAUGACGAUAACCACGACUAUAUCAUCAAACAGGGAGAGAAGUUCCUAGACAGAUAUGAGAUCUCAUCUCCGAUAGGCAAGGGAUCCUUUGGUCAGGUUGUGAAAGCGUACGACCACGAGGAGCAGUGUCAAGUAGCGAUAAAAAUUAUUAAGAAUAAGAAACCUUUCCUAAACCAGGCACAAAUAGAAGUCAAGUUACUAGAAAUGAUGAAUAGGGCGGAUGCCGAAAAUAAGUAUUAUAUAGUAAAACUGAAGCGUCACUUUAUGUGGCGGAAUCACUUGUGCCUAGUGUUCGAGCUGUUGUCGUACAAUCUGUACGAUCUGUUGCGUAAUACGAACUUCAGAGGUGUGUCGUUAAACCUGACGAGGAAGUUCGCACAGCAGCUGUGUACAGCCCUGCUGUUCCUUAGUCAACCUGAACUUAAUAUAAUUCACUGUGAUCUUAAGCCUGAGAAUAUAUUAUUAUGCAAUCCGAAGAGAUCGGCCAUCAAAAUUGUGGACUUUGGUAGUUCGUGUCAACUAGGUCAACGGAUAUACCAGUACAUUCAGUCACGUUUCUACCGUUCGCCGGAGGUACUACUCGGCAUACCAUACGACCUGGCAAUAGACAUGUGGUCACUGGGUUGUAUACUGGUCGAGAUGCACACGGGCGAGCCACUGUUCAGUGGUGCCAACGAACUCGACCAGAUGAACAAGAUCGUCGAAGUGCUCGGGAUGCCGCCGGACCAGCUCCUGGAUCAGGCGCACAAGACAAGAAAGUUCUUCGACAAAUUACCGCCUUCGGAGGGGGGCGGCUACGUCCUUAAGAAGGUUGCUGGGAAGGACGGCGGUUACCGUAAGUAUCGCCCGGCCGGCACGCGGCGUCUUCACGACAUACUCGGCGUGGAGGGGGGAGGACCCGCGGCCAGGAGGAGGGGAGAGCCGGGACACUCUGUAUCAGACUACCUCAAGUUUAAGGACCUAAUCCUCCGCAUGUUGGAGUACGAUCCCAAACAACGUGUGACGCCGUACUACGCGCUGCAGCACAACUUCUUCAAGCGAACAGCUGACGAGGCGACAAACACGCAGCAGGCGCAGCAUCACCAGCACGAUGCGCCGGAGUCACGAUGACUAGAGCGGCCCGCCGGCUCGCCCCCCACACACUAGCGCUCCGCCGAGCAGCGGGCGCGCGGCUGUGGGGUGGUGCCGAGCGUAUGGAGGUCGAGGCGAGACGAGACGAGGACGUGCUGGCGGUCUGCUCGCUGGCUCACAGCCCCGUCGCCAUACACUGACGCGGCGGGACGCGGCGUGACGUGACGCGACGCGACGUGACGUGACGUGACGCGAGUGCCGGGACGGUGACCAUAUUUAUGACCGUGUAUUUUUUUAUUUAACGCGAUAAGUCUGAGUGUUCUGCGCGGGGAUGUGUUAUGUUGUAUCAGUCAGUGUAUCAUUGGUUCGUUCGUUCCGCUUCUAUCGACCGUACUUAUUGUUAGAGGGAGCCGCUCUGGGGUUCCGCCAACAUCCGGACGCAACGAUGUCGUGAAAGCUAGGUUUUUUUAUUGUUACGCAAUGCAUAUCAAGGACGCAAUAUGGUAGAAAAUAAAUAUUGUACAUAUAUAGGUGACCCACUUGUAAUGGAUACAGACUGCGAGUUAAACCGGUUAUCAUAUAUUAGUUUAGGUUACUACUGUGCUAGGUAAGCUUCGUUUCGGUUCAUUAUCGCAAGCUUUAUAUUUCCGAAGUGUCGGCAACUGAUGACUGAAUAUCAAAGGGCCGAAACAGAAUUUCGUUAUUUGAUACAACCGAAUAAUAAUAAAAAAAUAAAUAAAUAGAUUAAAAACAAUGAAAGUAUUUUUUGACCGCACCACUUGAUCGGAUUCCUCCUUACAUUGAAAUCAUUUUGUAACUUUGCCCUCGCAUUUCAGAGUUGUUGUUUGUAUAUUGUAAAUGUAUUAUUUCCGAACUCAAAUGCAUGAGAUUUGAGAUCUGUAAAUCGGGACACGUGUACUGUGUUAUAAAUAUAGGUUAUUUUUGACCCAUUGGAAUAUUCAAGACGAUGUGUAAAACAAAGAAUAGUGUGUAGGUAAUACUAUAAAAAUAAUUAAAAAAAAAACACAAAAUGUACUUGUAGGUUACGGGAUUGUUGAGACAUAUAUAAAAAAAAUUGGGUAUUUCAGAUAGGAGUUAAUAAAUUAAAAUGACUUGAACCUUUUUUGGAUUUGAAUCUACAAUAGACUAACCUCAUUGCAACAGACUGGUCGUAACUUUGUAAUGGAGAUAUUUUGUAUAGCAUACACUGAAUCACUGCCUUAUUGUGCCGGAAAUUUAUGAGCGAGGUCCGCUACCGACUCCUAGUGACGUGACUCGUACCAUGUAGUACAAAUGUAUUGCACAUAUUGUUUUGUAUUAUAUUAUUGUAUACUGUAUCGUUAUAAGAAUGCUGGGACUCGUGGGUACAAAACGGAACUGGAUCUAUAUAGUGUCUAUAAGCGUAUGUAAUAAAAUGGCUAAGAGGUUGUAUAUUAGACGUUGCUUGUAUGGCAAUUAAAUAUCGACACGUGUAAAUUUUCAAAUUAAAAAAAAAAAAGUACCCUAAUAUAGUUUUAGGGUCUUAAUGAUGGGUAGCUUUUUUAUACUCUGUUAUAGACACAGUACCUUAGUCGAAUAAAUAUAUAUAUUAUAUAUAUAUAUGAAGUCACGGUCGUCCUGUGGGUGAGUAGCGGGCCUUAGUAGGUGCGGCUGGCCCUGAAUCGAUGUGAUUUAGCAAAUUAUAUUUUUUUCAAUUGUGUACAGUUGGUGGGUCGACUGUCUAUCGCUUCAGGGUCCGGCCGCUGGUUAUGACAUUGCAACUGGAAGCAGAUUUUUUUUGUGCUGCAGAAUGUUGCCGUGAUUUUUUAUAAAAUAAACCACCCAAAACCCCCUCCCCCUCCCAACCCCCAAAAAUUAUUUUAAAUAACAAGUUUGUAUGGUACAACUACAUAUUAUCGUACAUGAAGCAUGAAAGUAUUCUAAUAAUUGUUUUUUCUUAGCUCAGUAAGCGCUAUGACUGUUUUUUGUCCAUUAUAAUUUAAUUGUAGAUUUGAAUCUAUUUCUAAUCUCUCUGGUUCUGAAAUAUAAAUUUUUCUAAUGUCUGUAUAAUAUUUACUGUAUAAAUACUUUUUUGCUUCAUGAGGUUAUAGAAUUGUUAGUUAUAUAAGAAAUAGGUAUGGGAAACACGUUUUGUUUGAUUAUAGGGAAGCGACAAAUUAUAGAGGCGGGUUUCCGAACCGAACCGUUUCUCGACGUUUCCUUCAUUGUACUUUUAUAUAGAAUAAACUUUUUCUUGUAAUGAAAAUAAAUAACUUAUUUUGGGAUUUGUUUUAAUUAAGGAAUAUAACUAAGACGAAACGCAAUAAGUAAACAAACGUGACUAUGAAACAUUAAUGAAAUGAUAAAAAUUUAAAAAAUUGUUUUGUACGACACUGUUCCAUAUAAACCAGACUGACACGUGAAAUGUAAACGCUACUGAUUUGUAAUAAUAUAUUGUGGAUCUGUCAUUUUAGAUGUGAUUUUUAGUGUUGGCGAGUCUGUGAGCCAGUUUGUAGGCCGGCCGGCGAUUGUGUGCUCACAUCGGGAACCUGCCAAAUAAUAUUUUACAUAAACGAGCCUCACAUUACCGUUAACACCGACAUAUAUCAUAACGAACCGGAAACCGUAACUCGAGCAUGGCCGCGGCCCUAGAUGUUUGCGCUUGAGUAUGUAAUAUACUAUACUAUUUAUUUGUACUGUGACAUUAUAAGGAAUGUAUGGAAUGUUUGGAAUGUGAGAAAGCUAAAUGUUUAUUUCCUAUCGAAUUGUCAGUUCGCAGGCACUGUAACAAUAAAAGGAUAGAGCUUUAUGUCACUAAGUUUUGUAUUUUAAAUCAAUAAACGAUAGCAAUGA